CCCUUCGGGGUACACGAGAGGCAGACGGCUGAGUAACGCGUGGGAACGCACCCUACACUGAGGGAUAAGAUACCGAAAGGUGUUCUAAUACCGCAUACGGUCUUCGGAUUAAAGUCUUCGGACGGUGAAGGAGCGGCCCGCGUCAUAUUAGGUAGUUGGUGGGGGUAAUGGCCUACCAAGCCGAUGAUGUGUAGCUGGUCUGAGAGGAUGAUCAGCCAGACUGGAACUGAGAACGGUCCAGACUCCUACGGGAGGUAGCAGAC
rnacentral:rRNA from 1 species